rnacentral:tRNA from 1 species
GGGUGUAGCUCAGUGGGAGAGCACUCACCUAGCAUGCGCAAGGCUCUGGGUUCAACCCCCCACACCACA